UACGGAGGGGGCUAGCGUUGUUCGGAAUCACUGGGCGUAAAGCGCACGUAGGCGGAUUGCUAAGUCAGGGGUGAAAUCCUGGAGCUCAACUCCAGAACUGCCCUUGAUACUGGCGGUCUCGAGUUCGGGAGAGGUGAGUGGAACUGCGAGUGUAGAGGUGAAAUUCGUAGAUAUUCGCAAGAACACCAGUGGCGAAGGCGGCUCACUGGCCCGGUACUGACGCUGAGGUGCGAAAGCGUGGGGAGCAAACAGG
rnacentral:rRNA from 1 species